UACGAAGGGUGCAAGCGUUAAUCGGAAUUACUGGGCGUAAAGGGUGCGUAGGCGGUUCGUUAAGUCUGUUGUGAAGUCCCCGGGCUCAACCUGGGAAUGGCAAUGGAUACUGGCGGGCUAGAGUGUGUCAGAGGAUGGUGGAAUUCCCGGUGUAGCGGUGAAAUGCGUAGGGAUCGGGAGGAACAUCAGUGGCGAAGGCGGCCAUCUGGGACAACACUGACGCUGAAGCACGAAAGCGUGGGGAGCAAACAGG
rnacentral:rRNA from 1 species